AACGAACGCUGGCGGCAGGCUUAACACAUGCAAGUCGAACGCAUCCUUCGGGGUGAGUGGCAGACGGGUGAGUAACGCGUGGGAACGUGCCCUUCAGUUCGGGAUAACCCAGGGAAACUUGGGCUAAUACCGGAUACGUGCGAGAGCAGAAAGAUUUAUCGCUGAAGGAGCGGCCCGCGUCUGAUUAGCUAGUUGGUGGGGUAAUGGCCCACCAUGGCGACGAUCAGUAGCUGGUCUGAGAGGAUGAUCAGCCACAUUGGGACUGAGACACGGCCCAAACUCCUACGGGAGGCAGCAGUGGGGAAUAUUGGACAAUGGGCGCAAGCCUGAUCCAGCCAUGCCGCGUGAGUGAUGACGGCCUUAGGGUUGUAAAGCUCUUUCGUCCGGGACGAUAAUGACGGUACCGGAAGAAGAAGCCCCGGCUAACUUCGUGCCAGCAGCCGCCGUAA
rnacentral:rRNA from 1 species